UACAGAGGGCCCAAGCGUUGCGCGGAUUCAUUGGGCUUAAAGGGUGCGUAGGCGGAAAUGCAAGUGUUUUGUGAAAGCCCCCGGCUCAACCGGGGAAUUGCAGGGCAAACUGCAUUUCUUGAGGCUGGUAGGCGCCGCCGGAACUGUAGGUGUAGCGGUGAAAUGCGUAGAUAUCUACAGGAACGCCGAUGGUGAAGACGGGCGGCUAGGCCAGUUCUGACGCUGAUGCACGAAAGCGUGGGGAGCAAACAGG
rnacentral:misc_RNA from 1 species